GAUGAACGCUGGCGGCGUGCUUAACACGUGCAAGUCGAACGGAAAGGCUCCUGCUUGCAGGGGUACUCGAGUGGCGAACGGGUGAGUAACACGUGGGUGAUCUGCCCUGCACUUCGGGAUAAGCCUGGGAAACUGGGUCUAAUACCGGAUAGGACCACAUUUUGGAUGGUGUGGUGGAAAGUUUUUCGGUGUGGGAUGAGCUCGCGGCCUAUCAGCUUGUUGGUGGGGUAAUGGCCUACCAAGGCGUCGACGGGUAGCCGGCCUGAGAGGGUGUACGGCCACAUUGGGACUGAGAUACGGCCCAGACUCCUACGGGAGGCAGCAGUGGGGAAUAUUGCACAAUGGGCGCAAGCCUGAUGCAGCGACGCCGCGUGGGGGAUGACGGCCUUCGGGUUGUAAACUCCUUUCGCUAGGGACGAAGCGCAAGUGACGGUACCUGGAGAAGAAGCACCAGCUAACUACGUG
rnacentral:rRNA from 1 species